UACGGGGGGGGCAAGCGUUGUUCGGAAUUACUGGGCGUAAAGGGCUCGUAGGCGGCCAACUAAGUCAGACGUGAAAUCCCUCGGCUUAACCGGGGAACUGCGUCUGAUACUGGAUGGCUUGAGGUUGGGAGAGGGAUGCGGAAUUCCAGGUGUAGCGGUGAAAUGCGUAGAUAUCUGGAGGAACACCGGUGGCGAAGGCGGCAUCCUGGACCAAUUCUGACGCUGAGGAGCGAAAGCCAGGGGAGCAACGGG
rnacentral:rRNA from 1 species